UUGACGGGGAGCACCACAACGGGUGGAGCUUGCGGUUUAAUUGGAUUCAACGCCGGAAAUCUUACCGGGACCGACAGCAAUAUGAAGGCCAGGCUGAAGACUUUGCCGGAUUAGCUGAGAGGUGGUGCAUGGCCGUCGUCAGUUCGUACUGUGAAGCAUCCUGUUAAGUCAGGCAACGAGCGAGACCCACGCCCACAGUUGCCAGCGUACUCUCUGGAGUGACGGGUACACUGUGGGACCGCCGCUGCUAAAGCGGAGGAAGGAAUGGGCAACGGUAGGUCAGUAUGCCCCGAAUAUCCCGGGCUACACGCGAGCUACAAUGGUUGGUACAAUGGGUAUCUACCCCGAAAGGGGACGGGAAUCUCCUAAAACCAAUCUUAGCUCGGAUUGAGGGCUGCAACUCGCCCUCAUGAAGCUGGAAUCCGUAGUAAUCGCGUUUCAACAGAACGCGGUGAAUACGUCCCUGCUCCUU
rnacentral:rRNA from 1 species